rnacentral:lncRNA from 1 species
AGGUACUCUUCAUAAUCUAUACCAUUAAGGAACAACAGUUGAACCAGGCUGUCUCUGCUUCCCAAAUGCUGAGGUGGACCCUAACGUGCCCAGCAUAUGCUGUCCUUCGAAGCACACCAGCUCUUCCAAAAUCAAACCACCCUACUGAACAGAGCAGCUGUGUCUCCAUAAUCCCAGCCUUCGGCAAGUGGAGGCAGGAGGAUGAGGUCAUGGUGACCCUCAGCAACCUACAGAAUUUAAAGCCAAGCCUGAACAACACGAGACAAAACAAAACAAAGGUUAGGAGAGACUUCUCCGAGACGGUUUCUCACUUGAUCCAGAGUAUCAUAUGGGAGAGUGAUACCUGCAAUCUACAACAGAUCAGAUCCACCAUGACAAACAACUCUGCUACUUAAACAAUGUCAGAAGCCUGAAGAGCUGAGUCAAUCACUGGGACCCACACAGUGCAAGGAGAGAAGAGAUUCCCUCAGAGCCCUUUAAACCUCCAAAUCUUGUACAUGGGCAGCAUGUACAGCCCAUGACUCAAUAUAAUAAAUAGCUGUGAUUUAGC